UCCCCGUUAUCCUGGGCAGUCCCUCCAGAGUUCCCGGCAUAACCCGUUGGCAACUGGAGGCAGGGGUUGCGCUCGUUGCGGGACUUAACCCAACACCUCACGACACGAGCUGACGACAGCCAUGCAGCACCUGUACACCGACAAAAAGGGGCACUAUCUCUAGCGCUUUCCGGUGUAUGUCAAACCCAGGUAAGGUUCUUCGCGUUGCAUCGAAUUGAACCACAUGCUCCGCUGCUUGUGCGGGUCCCCGUCAAUUCCUUUGAGUUUUAGCCUUGCGGCCGUACUCCCCAGGCGGGGCACUUAAUGCGUUAGCUUCGGCACGGGAGGAGUCGACACCUCCCACACCUAGUGCCCAUCGUUUACGGCGUGGACUAC
rnacentral:misc_RNA from 1 species